CAGCUAGUUGGUGAGGUAAUGGCCCACCAAGGCGACGAUCGUUAGCUGGUCUGAGAGGACGAUCAGCCACACUGGGACUGAGACACGGCCCAGACUCCUACGGGAGGCAGCAGUGGGGAAUAUUGGACAAUGGGGGCAACCCUGAUCCAGCCAUGCCGCGUGAGUGAUGAAGGCCUUCGGGUUGUAAAGCUCUUUUGGCGGGGACGAUGAUGACGGUACCCGCAGAAUAAGCCCCGGCUAACUUCGUGCCAGCAGCCGCGGUAAGACGAAGGGGGCUAGCGUUGUUCGGAAUUACUGGGCGUAAAGCGAGUGUAGGUGGUUGUCCAAGUUGGAUGUGAAAGCCUUGAGCUCAACUCAAGAAAUGCAUUCAGGACUGGGCGGCUAGAGGACCGGAGAGGAUAGUGGAAUUCCCAGUGUAGUGGUGAAAUACGUAGAGAUUGGGAAGAACACCAGUGGCGAAGGCGGCUAUCUGGACGGUUUCUGACACUAAGACUCGAAAGCGUGGGGAGCAAACA
rnacentral:rRNA from 1 species